CCUACGGGAGGCUGCAGUGAGGAAUAUUGGUCAAUGGACGAGAGUCUGAACCAGCCAAGUAGCGUGAAGGAUGACUGCCCUAUGGGUUGUAAACUUCUUUUAUAAAGGAAUAAAACGAGGCACGUGUGCCUUUUUGCAUGUACUUUAUGAAUAAGGAUCGGCUAACUCCGUGCCAGCAGCCGCGGUAAUACGGAGGAUCCGAGCGUUAUCCGGAUUUAUUGGGUUUAAAGGGAGCGUAGAUGGGUUGUUAAGUCAGUUGUGAAAGUUUGUGGCUCAACCGUAAAAUUGCAAUUGAUACUGGCAGUCUUGAGUACAGUUGAGGUAGGCGGAAUUCGUGGUGUAGCGGUGAAAUGCUUAGAUAUCACGAAGAACCCCGAUUGCGAAGGCAGCUUACUAAACUGUGACUGACGUUGAGGCUCGAAAGCGUGGGGAGCAAACAGGAUUAGAUACCCCAGUAGUC
rnacentral:rRNA from 1 species